rnacentral:rRNA from 1 species
UACGUAGGCGCGAGCGUUGUCCGGAAUCAUUGGCGUAAGAGCUCGUAGCGGCCUGUCGCGUCUGCUGUGAAAUCCCGGGCUUAACCCCGGCGUGCAGUGGAUACGGGCUGGCUGGAGGCAGGCAGGGAGAACGGAAUUCCCGGUGGUAGCGGUGAAAUGCGCAGAUAGUACGGAGGAACACCGGUGGCGAAGCGGUUCUCUGGGCCUGUACUGACGCUGAG